rnacentral:rRNA from 1 species
UACGAAGGGGGGCUAGCGUUGCUCGGAAUCACUGGGCGUAAAGCGCACGUAGGUGGCUUUCUAAGUCAGGGGUGAAAUCCUGGAGCUCAACUCCAGAACUGCCUUUGAUACUGGAAAGCUUGAGUUCGGGAGAGGUGAGUGGAACUGCGAGUGUAGAGGUGAAAUUCGUAGAUAUUCGCAAGAACACCAGUGGCGAAGGCGGCUCACUGGCCCGAUACUGACGCUGAGGUGCGAAAGCGUGGGGAGCAAACAGGG